rnacentral:rRNA from 1 species
CGAUAAUCUGCCCUAAGUUCAGGGAUAACUACGGGAAACUGUGGCUAACACCUGAUAAGGAAAAGAUACUGGAAUGUUCUUUUUCUCAAACUCGAGCCUUAGGAUGAGUUGGCGGCCGAUUAGGCAGUUGGCGGUGUAACGGACCACCAAACCAAAGAUCGGUACGGGCCCUGAGAGGGGUAGCCCGGAGAGGGACACUGAGAUACUGGUCCCAGCCCUACGGGGUGCAGCAGGCGCGAAAACUUUACAAUGCACGAAAGUGUGAUAAGGGAAUCCUAAGUGCUCAGGCAUUGCCUGGGCUUUUGCCAUAUGUAAAUAGUAUGGCGAAUAAGUAGUGGGCAAGACUGGUGCCAGCCGCCGCGGUAACACCAGCGCUACGAGUGGCAAUCACGUUUAUUGGGCCUAAAGCGUCCGUAGCAGGUCUUGUAAAUUUUUUGUGAAACUGCCAAGCUUAACUUGGCAAUGUGCAGGAAACACUGCAAGACUUGAGACCGGGAAGGGUCGGAGGUAUUCCUGAGGGAGCGGUAAAAUGCUAUAAUCUCAGGAGGACCACCGGUGGCGAAGGCGUCCGACUAGAACGGAUCUGACUGUGAGGGACGAAAGCCAGGGGAGCAAACCGGAUUAGAUACCCGAGUAGUCCUGGCUGUAAACGCUGUGAGCUAGGUGUCGCGCAUUCUACGGGAAUGCGCGGUGUCGUAAGGAAGCUACUAAGCUCACCGCCUGGGAAGUACGGUCGCAAGACUGAAACUUUA